rnacentral:rRNA from 1 species
AUUGAACGCUGGCGGCAUGCUUUACACAUGCAAGUCGAACGGUAACAGGCCGCAAGGUGCUGACGAGUGGCGAACGGGUGAGUAAUACAUCGGAACGUGCCCAGUCGUGGGGGAUAACGUAGCGAAAGCUACGCUAAUACCGCAUACGACCUGAGGGUGAAAGCGGGGGAUCGCAAGACCUCGCGCGAUUGGAGCGGCCGAUGGCAGAUUAGGUAGUUGGUGGGGUAAAGGCCUACCAAGCCUGCGAUCUGUAGCUGGUCUGAGAGGACGACCAGCCACACUGGGACUGAGACACGGCCCAGACUCCUACGGGAGGCAGCAGUGGGGAAUUUUGGACAAUGGGCGAAAGCCUGAUCCAGCCAUACCGCGUGCGGGAAGAAGGCCUUCGGGUUGUAGACCGCUUUUGUCAGGGAAGAAAUCUUCUGGGUUAAUACCUCGGGAGGAUGACGGUACCUGAAGAAUAAGCACCGGCUAACUACGUGCCAGCCGCCGCUGUAAAAC